GAUGAACGCUGGCGGCGUGCCUAAUACAUGCAAGUCGAGCGAACGGACGAGAAGCUUGCUUCUCUGAUGUUAGCGGCGGACGGGUGAGUAACACGUGGAUAACCUACCUAUAAGACUGGGAUAACUUCGGGAAACCGGAGCUAAUACCGGAUAAUAUUUUGAACCGCAUGGUUCAAAAGUGAAAGACGGUCUUGCUGUCACUUAUAGGUGGAUCCGCGCUGCAUUAGCUAGUUGGUAAGGUAACGGCUUACCAAGGCAACGAUGCAUAGCCGACCUGAGAGGGUGAUCGGCCACACUGGAACUGAGAUACGGUCCAGACUCCUACGGGAGGCAGCAGUAGGGAAUCUUCCGCAAUGGGCGAAAGCCUGACGGAGCAACGCCGCGUGAGUGAUGAAGGUCUUCGGAUCGUAAAACUCUGUUAUUAGGGAAGAACAUAUGUGUAAGUAACUGUGCACAUCUUGACGGUACCUAAUCAGAAAGCCACGGCUAACUACGUG
rnacentral:rRNA from 1 species